rnacentral:misc_RNA from 1 species
UCUCCGUAGGUGAACCUGCGGAGGGAUCAUUACUGAGUGAGGGCUCACGCCCGACCUCCAACCCUUUGUGAACCAAACUUGUUGCUUCGGGGGCGACCCUGCCGACGACUCCGUCGCCGGGCGCCCCCGGAGGUCUUCUAAACACUGCAUCUUUGCGUCGGAGUUUAAACAAAUUAAACAAAACUUUCAACAACGGAUCUCUUGGUUCUGGCAUCGAUGAAGAACGCAGC